UACGGGGGGGGCAAGCGUUGUUCGGAAUUACUGGGCGUAAAGGGCUCGUAGGCGGCCAACUAAGUCAGACGUGAAAUCCCCAGGCUCAACCUGGGAACUGCGUCUGAUACUGGAUGGCUUGAAUUCGGGAGAGGGAUGCAGAAUUCCUGGUGUAGCGGUGAAAUGCGUAGAUAUCUGGAGGAAUACCGGUGGCGAAGGCGGCAUCCUGGACUCAUACUGACACUGAGGUGCGAAAGCGUGGGGAGCAAACAGG
rnacentral:rRNA from 1 species